rnacentral:misc_RNA from 1 species
UUUCCGUAGGUGAACCUGCGGAAGGAUCAUUAUUGAGAUUAACGGGGCGGCGCGAGCCGUCCCAACCAAACCCCCUGUGAACAACACUGUCGUCGGCGCAAGCCGGCGGCGACCUUUACACCUGUCGUACUACGUCCAGAAAGUAAAACAAAAGAGUACAACUCUCAACGAUGGAUCUCUUGGCUCUCGCAUCGAUGAAGAACGCAGC